CAGUAGCCGCGGGAAUACGUAGGGGGCGAGCGUUGUCCGAAGUUACUGGGCGUAAAGCGCGCGUAGGCGGCUUCUUAAGUCUGAGGUGAAAGGUUCAACGCUUAACGUGAACAGUGCCUUGGAUACUGGGGAGCUUGAGUAUGGGAGAGGGCAGUGGAAUGGCUGGUGUAGCGGUGGAAUGCGUAGAUAUCAGUCGGAACACCCAUGGCGAAGGCAGCUGCCUGGCCUAAUACUGACGCUGAGGUGCGAAAGCGUGGGGAGCGAACGGGAUUAGAUACCCCAGUAGUCCCUGUCUCUUAUA
rnacentral:rRNA from 1 species